GUGCUAGCUUCAGCAGCACAUACACUAAAAUUGGAACAAAACAGAGAUUAGCAUGACCCUUGUAAUUAAAUAAAAAUAGAAGAGAAAAUAAUAAAAAUUUG
rfam:Pan troglodytes isolate Yerkes chimp pedigree #C0471 (Clint) chromosome 7, whole genome shotgun sequence.